UCUUAAGCAUAUAAUGACCCCUAGCUGGAGCUAGGGGUCAUCUGACCGAGGCCUUCCGUUGGCUUACCAGUUCACCCCUUUAAAAAUUAUGGUAAUAAUUAUAACCAUUAGAUGAGCGUCUGCUAUAACAAUCAGGAGGGUUUUGGCCAGAUAGAUCACCUGUUCCCAUUAGCUAUAUCUAUUUCUUAAUACUGUAUCAGAUUUUCACUAUAUUUUUCAUAUAUCAAACCGAAAACACGAUUUAUGAAACGUAAUAUGUAGGAAGGAAAAAUUCAGCAUCUAAAAGACUGUCACAGCUUAGAAACAGAAGCGGCAGGAGAUAACGAAGUCAAGUGAAAAAAAAAAAUCGAACAAGUUAGUCUUCCUAGCGGUGAACACUCGCCCGCGCGCGCCAUAUAGGCAUUGUCACUAGACUGUUUAGUACUGUGGAGGGAAAGUGGAAUAUUUCGCUGGAAAAUAUUGAUUAAAUACGAAAGGGCGGAUAUUUAUUGGUGGGUCCCUAGCCUGGGAUGGCAGCCACCAGCCUGAGGGAACACGGAUGGCAGCCACCAGCCUGAGGGAACACGGGUGACAGCCACCAGCCUGAGGGAACACGGGUGGCAGCCACCAGCCUGAGGGAACACGGGUGGCAGCCACCAGCCUGAGGGAACACGGGUGGCAGCCACCAGCCUGAGGGAACACGGAUGGCAGCCACCAGCGAGACACCUCGGUGUCUUCAUACUUCGCCACACGGUAAGUGGAUUUCAGACCUCAUCGAGGACCGAGACGCCCAGGUAUGUUCUUUUGUUACAAGGUGAGCUACAACAGCACUAGUUCCUGACAGGUAACUCCCAAUUCUUUUCUCUCACAGGAGUUACACUUGAGCAGUCUUUAGAUGCUCCCAUUUGUUACGGCGGUAGCCACCUCUAAUUUUGCCCAUUGAAGUUUGGGCCUUUGGGGUAUUGGGGAAAGGAUCUUUCCCCGGGGGAUUUGGGAAGAGUUUAUUCCCUUGGUUUUGGGAAAGAGGUUCCUAUCGAAAGUUGGGGAAAGAGUCUCUCCCUCUCUCCCUCCUUCCCUUGAA